AGAGUGAACGCUGGCGGCAGGCCUAACACAUGCAAGUCGAACGGCAGCACAGAGGAGCUUGCUCCUUGGGUGGCGAGUGGCGGACGGGUGAGGAAUACGUCGGAAUCUGCCUAUUUGUGGGGGAUAACGUAGGGAAACUUACGCUAAUACCGCAUACGACCUACGGGUGAAAGCGGAGGACCUUCGGGCUUCGCGCAGAUAGAUGAGCCGACGUCGGAUUAGCUAGUUGGCGGGUAAAGGCCCACCAAGGCGACGAUCCGUAGCUGGUCUGAGAGGAUGAUCAGCCACACUGGAACUGAGACACGGUCCAGACUCCUACGGGAGCAGCAGUGGGGAAUAUUGGACAAUGGGCGCAAGCCUGAUCCAACCAUGCCGCGUGUGUGAAGAAGGCCUUACGGUUGUAAAGCUACGUUUUAGUACGGAAGAAAGCUUUACGGUAAUACCGGAAGUUCUGACGUACGAAGAAUAAGCACGCUAACUUCGUAGCCAGCGAGCCGCGGUAA
rnacentral:rRNA from 1 species